GGUGCGGACCCCUGCGUCCGAAGUUUGGGUAAUUGUCAGCGAUGUUCCCGCGGAAGAGUGGGACAGGUACAGUAGUCUGUGCGUGACAAGCCUCGCCGGUUAGCGUUCUUACAAAAGGCGAUCGGUUAGCGGACACAGCAGCCAACAAACGCACAACCGAUCUUUUUUAUCACAGGGUGUCGAAGCAGGUCUUCUUUCUCUCUCUCAGUGGCCGGGUGGGGAAUAGGAAAGGAGAGGGUUGUCUUAGUCAUGGCGUGCGUUGGAGAGGAGGGUUAAGUACCGGUAGCCGUCCUGCUGUCCUAGACCGGCUACCCUAAGCCGCUGGCCUGCUCCCGUACCCGCAGCUAGAAGGAGGAGGUCGAGGGUCAGUGUCCGCGGCGGUGGUAGCUGGUCUAGAAGUGGUGCCGGGGAGCGUGCUGGAGCAGCCGCUGCGCAGGAGGUCCCGUUUCGAUACCUCCUCAGGGACACGGUACGGUGCCUCGACCGCGUCCGGCAGCGGUUACGGGAGAAGAGCGACGGCCGCUGCCGGGGCAGCAGGCGGAGGGCGGCGGGUGGUUAGCGGAUGGGGUGCUCUUCGUAUAUAGUUGCUCUUCUGCAACAACCAUGAGACAGGCCUCCUCGCGCGGUAACGUGGUAGCUGUCCUUCUCCGAUCCACCUCGCGUCUCAGUGGUGGCCGACACGGGACCCGCUAGACGACUCAAUUUGGACAACAUCAGACUACAGGUACGAAAAAACGUGCGCGCCGUGGCGGCAGGCCUGCGGCUAGGGGCCAACGGAAGAAGUGUGAGGAGGAGGACGAGGUCAAGCGCGGGUCGGUUUUGCGCGCAGCUGCGGUCGCUUCAGGGGCGGCAGGAACAGGUGGCACCACAAGGUCGAGGUCUCACAGCAGAUAGGGUGGUCCGUAAUAAUACAGUGGUACUCGUAACCCUUAGGUGGGUUCUGAAUGAAGGACCCAUCGGGUUCAAACGAACUGACAAUCAACACGUCAGGAAAUAAGACAUUGACAUGGAUCUGAGGGUACCGUACGUCACAGUAAACAAAGACAUAAGAAAACAAGUACACAACGCGACCAGUUAUGUACCACUCGGAAGCAGUUCGCGUGAUCGGAACCAACGUUCUCUCGUUGUGGUACUCGAUCGAAGGAAGGAACGAACCAAGUGUUCACUCAAACCUAAUAAAACCCUUGGAGAAAAUCCUCAAACCUUAUGAGAUUCUUUAAUGACAUGCUCAACUCGCAUGAGACUCGUGGUGUACAUGGACAUCGCGCGGUGCUACUGGCCGUGUUCAGUACAAAGAGAGGUAAGAGGAGGAGAUCGAGGGAGGGAGAUCUAAGGUAACACCGAAAAUACACUUUCUCCGAUCUAGUACUUGUACACGCCACUCGAAAACACGAUGAAAUAAAAAUCUCGCUAAUGGUCAUAACGGUUACAGUCAUCUAUGAAAUAAAUAAAACACUACGUGAAUCGAGUUUAAUAAAAUAAAACAAAUCUAUAUUGAUCGUUUCACCGGGCGAGCUACGCACCCGAUCUGGAAAACUUUCAAAUUAUUACUCUUAUAUAAUAAAUUAAAUUGAGUACUUUAUAACCCCGGUUUACUCUACUUCAAAUAUUUAUAUUAUGAAAACUCUUGGACUGUCAAGCAAUUAAGUUCUGUACAAAUGACGUUCUCAGAAACCUCAGUAUUUAAACCAACGUAUGUACAAGGAUUGAUGCACUACGGUUAAACUCUACAUUCGUAAAAGAUAUUUUAGGUUUAGUUGUUUUCUCUUUUAGUUACGAAUUAUAAUACGUGGUACAUCUUUUGAUUUUGAGAAAUGUAUUGUGCUUAAAAUCAACUUUCGCUAUAAUUGAUUUAUAAAAAACAACUAGUAGUGAUGAUUGUGUAAGGAUGA
rnacentral:rRNA from 1 species